UGGCCUUGACAUAGUAGAAACUUUCCAGAGAUGGAAAGGUGCCUUCGGGAAUCUACAUACAGGUGCUGCAUGGCUGUCGUCAGCUCGUGUCGUGAGAUGUUGGGUUAAGUCCCGCAACGAGCGCAACCCUUUUCCUUACUUGCCAGCAUUUCGGAUGGGAACUUUAAGGAUACUGCCAGUGACAAACUGGAGGAAGGCGGGGACGACGUCAAGUCAUCAUGGCCCUUACGGCC
rnacentral:rRNA from 1 species